GCCUCUAGCUCAACUGGCAGAGCAGCGGACUUUUAAUCCGCGGGUUGUGGGUUCGAUCCCCACGGGGC
rnacentral:tRNA from 1 species